rnacentral:rRNA from 1 species
GCAUAUCAAUAAGCGGAGGGAAAAGAAACCCAACAGGGGAUUGCCUCAGUAACGGCGAGUGAAGCGGCAACAGCUCAAAUUUGAAAUCUGGCCUCGUGGCCCGAGUUGUAAUUUGUAGAGGAUGCUUCGGGCGUGGUCCGGUCUAAGUUCCUUGGAACAGGACGUCAUAGAGGGUGAGAAUCCCGUACGUGACCGGGGUGCCUAAGCCUGUGUGAAGCUCCUUCGACGAGUCGAGUUGUUUGGGAAUGCAGCUCAAAACGGGUGGUAAAUUUCAUCUAAAGCUAAAUACCGGCCAGAGACCGAUAGCGCACAAGUAGAGUGAUCGAAAGAUGAAAAGCACUUUGGAAAGAGAGUUAAACAGCACGUGAAAUUGUUGAAAGGGAAGCGUUGGCGACCAGACUUGCGCGGCGUCGAUCAUCCGGCGUUCUCGCCGGUGCACUCGGCGCCGCUCAGGCCAGCAUCGGUUCUGGCGGCUGGACAAAGGUCGUGGGAAUGUGGCUCCUCGGAGUGUUAUAGCCCACGGCGCCAUACGGCCUGCCGGGACCGAGGACCGCGCUUCGGCUAGGAUGCUGGCGUAAUGGUCGUCAACGACCCGUCUUGAAACACGGACCAAGGAGUCUAACAUUUGUGCGAGUGUUUGGGUGUCAAACCCGUACGCGUAAUGAAGGUGAACGGAGGUGAGAGCCCUUGAGGGCGCAUCAUCGACCGAUCCUGAUGUCUUCGGAUGGAUUUGAGUAAGAGCAUCAAUGUUGGGACCCGAAAGGUGAGCCGACCUCCCCCCCCAACCCCCCCCGAGAGACGUGCUAACCGACCCCGCAGAUGGUGAACUAUUCCCAGGUAGGGUGAAGCCAGAGGAAACUCUGGUGGAGGCCCGCAGAGAUUCUGACGUGCAAAUCGAUCUUCAAACCCGGGAUUAGGGGGCGAAAGACUAAUCGAAACCAUCUAGUAGCUGGGUUGCUGCGAA